UGCAUAUAUUAGGCGCGAGCGUAAAUUUUGAUCAAAGCAGAAGGGCGUUAUCGCGAAGCUGACGUCUGCUAGGCCUGUGGAUUUGCACAGGUAGGCUGCAGCAUGGAGCCAACAAGAGAAUUGCUUGUUCAGUGGAAAAAAGAUGGCUCCAAAAAACGUGGUAGUGUAUGGAGAUAGAUUCAAUGUCCCUGUAUUCCAAUAAAAGGGACAAAAGUCUUCAUGCCUUGGAAAGGCAGGAGAUGGGAGGGAGUUGUCCUGUCAGUGGAUGAUGAGUCUGAGGAAAGUGAUGAUGACAGCAUACCAGAUCAACCAAGGCUUGACGUUGGAGAUGUCGGUGUCGGUGUCAGAAUGACAGACCAUGGACCUCUACCAGAUCAACCAAGGCUUGACGUUGGAGAUGUCGGGUCACAAUGACAGACAUGCCUCAUUGAAGUUCAAAUGUGUCAACAUUUCAUAUGUUUACAUGAAGUGUUUAGUACAUGCUCCCAGUGUCUUGUUUCCCUGUGUGAACACCACUUCAAAGAGGACGAACCAUGUGCAAACCACAAUAACUAUGCUCAUCUACUUCAAAUUCCGGAGAGGUUUUCAGAAGAUCAUCCAGCGAUCGACACAGUUCUGGAAUUGAUGACGGUUGUUCCCUUAGCAAUCGAAGUGCAGGAGACAGUUGACAUAGUUUCAAGUUAUCCAAGCAGACAGUGAAGAGAGUGGCUUCUACACAGAGAUAUUGGAGAACGUCCUGAACAAUGUGAGAAUAAGAGAGCCAGGAAACGUAUUGCAGAUCCCAACAGCUGCUACAGUUUCACUUAUUGUCAUACUUUUUUGUAUCGCCUUUGAUAAUGCUGAAAUAUUGUUCAAGUAUUUUCUCUUAUGUUAACUUACUGCACAGUACGUUAACUGUAGAAUACACAAAGUUCUUUAAGAGCUACCAUGUUGUAAUUUCUGCCAUGAACAUGUGCUACAGUUUCACUUAUUGUCAUACAAUUUUGUUUAUUUGCCUUUGAUAAUGCUGAUAUAUUGUUUAAGUAUUUUCUCUUUUGUAAACUUACUGCACAGUUUUUUAAACUAUGCUACAAAAGCUCACUAGAGCUAGAACAGAUUCAACGCAGAAUACAAAACUUUCUUUUGAGAGCUACCAUGUUGUUCUUUCUGCCAUGAGCAUGUGCUACAGAUAAGUUCCAAUUUUUAUCUUUAAUCAUGAUUCAUUAUGAUUGAUCAAUUUUGAAUGAUUGUACAUGGAAUUGUAAAAUGAACUGUACAAAAAGGAUUCCAGUUAUAUUGCAAAGGAAUAAAUUCAGUCAUAACCAUGACAGAAUUGUUCAUCUUAA